rnacentral:misc_RNA from 1 species
GUGAAUUAAACAUGCUUGGUGUCUUCGCUUCGGCAAGGCCCUUGCUUAAACCACAUCCUAACACCUGUGAACUGUAAGACGUAUGAUGAGGUCUUUGGCCAAGUCAUCGUCUGCCCAUUUUUAACAAACAAUUAAUGUAACAAACGUAGUCUUACUAUAACCUAAUA